UACGUAGGGUGCGAGCGUUGUCCGGAAUUACUGGGCGUAAAGAGCUCGUAGGUGGUUUGUCGCGUUGUUCGUGAAAACCUGAGGCUUAACCUUGGGCGUGCGGGCGAUACGGGCAGACUGGAGUACUGCAGGGGAGACUGAAUUCCAGGUGGUAGCGGUGAAAUGCGUAGAUAUCUGGAGGAAUACCGGUGGCGAAGGCGGCGACCUGGGUCGAUACUGACGCUGAGGUGCGAAAGCGUGGGGAGCAAACAGG
rnacentral:rRNA from 1 species